CCUACGGGUGGCAGCAGUGAGGAAUAUUGGUCAAUGGACGAGAGUCUGAACCAGCCAAGUAGCGUGAAGGAUGACUGCCCUAUGGGUUGUAAACUUCUUUUAUAUGGGAAUAAACUGUUCCACGUGUGGGAUUUUGUAUGUACCAUAUGAAUAAGGAUCGGCUAACUCCGUUCCAGCAGCCGCGGUAAUACGGAGGAUCCGAGCGUUAUCCGGAUUUAUUGGGUUUAAAGGGAGCGUAGGUGGUUUGUUAAUUCAGUUGUGAAAGUUGGCGGCUCAACCGUGAAAUUGCAGUUGAAACUGGCAGUCUUGAGUACAGUAGAGGUGGGCGGAAUUCGUGGUGUAGCGGUGAAAUGCUUAGAUAUCACGAAGAACUCCGAUUGCGAAGGCAGCUCACUGGACUGCAACUGACACUGAGGCACGAAAGUGUGGGGAGCAAACAGGAUUAGAUACCCGAGUAGUC
rnacentral:rRNA from 1 species